GACGAACGCUGGCGGCAUGCCUAACACAUGCAAGUCGAGCGAGUUGAUCCCUUCGGGGUGAAGCUAGCGGCGGACGGGUGAGUAACACGUGGGCAACCUGCCUCAUAGAGGGGAAUAGCCUUCCGAAAGGAAGAUUAAUACCGCAUAAGAUUGUAGCUUCGCAUGAAGUAGCAAUUAAAGGAGCAAUCCGCUAUGAGAUGGGCCCGCGGCGCAUUAGCUAGUUGGUGAGGUAACGGCUCACCAAGGCGACGAUGCGUAGCCGACCUGAGAGGGUGAUCGGCCACAUUGGGACUGAGACACGGCCCAGACUCCUACGGGAGGCAGCAGUGGGGAAUAUUGCACAAUGGGGGAAACCCUGAUGCAGCAAUGCCGCGUGAGUGAUGACGGCCUUCGGGUUGUAAAGCUCUGUCUUCGGGGACGAUAAUGACGGUACCCGAGGAGGAAGCCACGGCUAACUACGUGCCAGCAGCCGCCGUAA
rnacentral:rRNA from 1 species